CCUACGGGGUGCACCAGUGGGGAAUAUUGCACAAUGGGGGAAACCCUGAUGCAGCGACGCCGCGUGCGGGAUGACGGCCUUCGGGUUGUAAACCGCUUUCAGCAGGGACGAAACAAGACGGUACCUGCAGAAGAAGCGCCGGCUAACUACGUGCCAGCAGCCGCGGUAAUACGUAGGGAGCAAGCGUUGUCCGGAAUUAUUGGGCGUAAAGAGCUCGUAGGCGGUCUGUCGCGUCGGAUGUGAAAGCUCGAGGCUUAACCUCGGGUCUGCAUCCGAUACGGGCAGACUAGAGGCAGGUAGGGGAGAACGGAAUUCCCGGUGUAGCGGUGAAAUGCGCAGAUAUCGGGAGGAACACCGGUGGCGAAGGCGGUUCUCUGGGCCUGUACUGACGCUGAGGAGCGAAAGCGUGGGGAGCGAACAGGAUUAGAUACCCUAGUAGUC
rnacentral:rRNA from 1 species